UGUUAUCUUUCCUAUUAAGUCACUGUGCUUUGAAAAACUAAACAUGUUUGGUUUUGGAUACCAAUUAUAGCAUUAUAACUUCAAAGUUUUUAUUAUUUAGAUAGUUUACUAUCAAAAUCUAACCAAUUGCAUGCAGCAUUAUACUCCAAAUCGUAACAUUAUAUUUUCAAAAUCCACCCUUUUAAGACAUUGUAGUUUUGAUACAUUCUGCUUUAGAAUCUAAACUUGUUUAACCAUGGUUACCAAUUAUAACAUCAUACUUAAUUUUGAUUUUAUUUUUCAUAUUAAGACAUCAUAAGUAUUUAUAUAAUACCAUUAAGUCUAUUAUUAGAACGAAAUCAAGUUCCACAAUUGAGUAUUAUUUGGAUUACAAAACAUUUUAUUUCUGCCUUAAUCUUUCAAGUUUCCACUAAAAGCUGUGUAAUGUUGUGGCAAGAAGAAUCGAAUCAAGUCCCACAAUCAACACCCCCCCCCCUCCCUGGAAAGGUAUGCACUAAUCAAGGCUAUCUCUCAUUAAGGCAUAAGAAUCAAUUUUUUUAUACUCAUAUCAGAUGCUGUACAUAAUAUUUUAUAAUAUUUUGUAUUUUGCCAGCCUUGUUUGAUUUUCUGAUUUGAAACAGCUCAUGUGCAACUUUGAGAAAUGAUUGAUCGAAAGCGUUCCUGAGAUACUGUCUCUGUAAAUUGAAGCUUCAUUGAUUUAAAUUUAGUCAUGUAAUGUUUUCUGUGUUUAUUUUCAGAUUAAAAAUAUUAAUUUUUUUUGAAUAAUGGCAACAAAAGAGGUAAAGACGAUGCAUCAAGUUUCUCUACCAAUGAUGAUGGAAAUCAUAUCACCAAAUUGGUUAUGAUAACAAGCAGCCUCAAAACUUAUGUUAAAUUUUUAAGGGGAAUUGUGGGAAAUAACAAGGUACACUAUUAGUUCCAAUGGAUAUCAUCAAAUAACUAAUAAGGGUGUUGUUAUCAUUGAAUCUCAAAUAAGGGCAUUUAUGUCUUCAAGUCAUGAAAUUAUGAACUUGGUUUAUCAAAUUACCACCUUCUAUUCUCUGAUUACAUGCUGACAAAGCAUGGAAGUGAUAUGCAGGAAAUGGUGUGGUCUUUGGUAGAUUGAAACAUUAAAAACAAGUGGUCAAUAUAAAUAGGGUAACAAUGAAAUGCCUCUCCAUAGUGUUUAUAGGCUUCAAAUUCCAAAUGUUGUAUGGAUCAGAUGUUGGACAAGUACCAAAUGUUGAGGAAACAAUGAGGAUUCAAAUUUGUACUUAGAGCCAUCCAUCACCUAUAAUAUAGAAUUAGAAACUAUACCCAUUUCUUCUCAACCUGAUUUUGUAUCAACAUUGUUCCAAUUUUUCAAUAAAGAAUUUGUACACAAUGUAUCCUUUACAGACCAUGAAGCCUUUGAUCAUGUAUUACAUGCCUUUUGGUUGUUUUUUUUUCAAAUGACAUUGAUCCUAUCAAUAAGUUUGUGGAUCUUUUUAACAUGAAUCAGUUACCCCUGCUUCUGAUCAUGAACCAAAUCCAUGGGAAUUGAAUAUGUCUAAUGCUUCUCCUGGUCAGCAUCUUGGCUUUUUGCUCAGCAGAGAGGAUGCAGAUAACUACCUUCAAUCCAUUGAUUACAAGCUGACAAAGCCUAGAAACAAUAUACAGGUGUACAGGAAAAUGAUUGCUUAUUUAUUUGAAAGAUCAUAAAUAUUGCAUGGAAAAUGCCUUCAACACAUAUUUCGUACGCUUGGUAAUUCCUUACAAUUUAUAUUUGUUAUUUAGUCAAGUUUUAGUAAAUUGAGACAUCAGGGAAGGGAAAUGCCACAUGGUGGUGGUCUUUGGUGGAUUGAAAUAUUAGAAACAAGUGGUGAAUAUAAAGAGGGUGCUGGUGUUUAAGGAACCUCUUCGUUCAGCUGUGAUGCUUGAACAAGGAUCUGAUUGCUGUUACCUUUUAGGAAAACCAAUUAUAUUAAGAAAGUAUGGAUUUCAUCUCAUUCUUUCUGAUGAUCUAUAUAAGAAAUGCGAGCAGUGGACGACAAGGUUAUUUCAAGAAAAACUUCAAUUUUUGUGAACACAUCAUAUGCCAAGUGCAGUUGUGUUGGGUCAAUGUUUUAUGUAUGCAACCCGGGACCCAACACAUGUAUGAUUUUCCAAGAUUAUGCACAACAUCCAGCUGAAGAAGUUGAUGAAUACAUACUCUGAUAGACACGGGGUCAACAACUUGAAAUUGUUGGAUGACAUGGCGGAAUGAAGUUCAAUCAUUGAUGCUCAGUUACGUGUGUGUGGUUGAUUAUUCCAGUGCUAUGAAUGCAAUGAAGAGGCAAAAAGCAUUAUUUAAUGAGGAGGCAAAAAACAUUUUUUAAAUGUAAAAAUUUACAAAACUUCCUUCAGCACAAGGGAGGGAGGGCGCCUUGUAGCUUUCUUUCCAUACUUUAAAGAAUAUAUGAUCCGUCCAAUAUUAUCUUUCAGGCAUCUCCUAUGAUAUGCUAUGGUGCAUCAACCUUCCCUUGUCUCCUGAUGUCAUGGAUUUUCUUAAAGUUUAAGUAACUUUUAGGGCUAAAUGCAAUAUAUAACAACUUACUUUCAUUCAUUUGUGUUUUAUUUCAGCAUCGUAGUUUCAUUUCUUUCUGUUACAGUAUUCUACUUUCAACUUUUUCAUAUGAAGACAUUAUACUUUAAAAAAUAUACCCAAUUAUAUA